rnacentral:lncRNA from 12 species
AAAAGAGAAAGGAUCCAGUGUAUAUAAAAUCUUAUAUAUGAUGAGAGGCCAGCCACCUUAGGACAAGGCGGGCAGCGGCAAGGGCUCAGCUCCCUCUCCUGGUGCUAUCAUACUUACCCUCCUUCUAGACCAUCCUCUGCACUGACGUCAAACCCAUCUGGCAUCUCCAAGGAGCAGCUUGUGGUUGCAUCUGUGUUUCUUCUCUCCUCCCAGCAGAAAAAGAUGCUUCAUUGCCCAAAACCCCUAGAAAAAUUACUGCUG